GCCACAGCCAGCCAGAGCCACACAGAGCCAGCCCGCCAGUUGUCCCGCAGAAGGCGCCGAAGGAAGGUCACGCAUACUCGCUCAGGGAGGACCAGGGUUACACCGCCACGAUGCUGCUGCUGCCGCUACUGUUGCUCGACCUGCUGAUGGCGCUGGUGCUGGCUGG